GGCCAGACUCCUACGGGAGGCAGCAGUGGGGAAUAUUGCACAAUGGGGGAAACCCUGAUGCAGCGACGCCGCGUGAGCGAAGAAGUAUUUCGGUAUGUAAAGCUCUAUCAGCAGGGAAGAAAAUGACGGUACCUGAGUAAGAAGCUCCGGCUAAAUACGUGCCGGCAGCCGCGGUAAUACGUAUGGAGCAAGCGUUAUCCGGAUUUACUGGGCGUAAAGGGAGCGUAGGCGGCCUGCCAAGUCUGAUGUGAAAUACCGGGGCUCAACCCCGGGGCUGCCGUUGAAACCGGAGCGCUGGAAUUCCGAUGCCGUCGGAGGAAUGUGUGGUGUAGCGGUGAAAUGCAUAGAUAUCACACAGAACACCGAUUGCGAAGGCACCUGACGAAUCGGAGAUUGACGCUGAUGCACGAAAGCGUGGGUAUCGAACAGGAUUAGAUACCCCAGUA
rnacentral:rRNA from 1 species